GCAAAUUAAUAUUAAAGACCAACUGAAGAGGUUUUUUUCGAAAUUGAGAUAGCGAUUGAUUUAGAUAGUAGAUAACAUCAAAGUUAGUUCCUAAAAAUUUGAGAUUUUAGAAAAGCGUAUUUAUAUUAGAAAAAGUAAUUUGAAAGUGUAAAAAAUAACGAGAUUUGAAAAUCAGCUUCAAUGGCCGAAACCGGAAGUGACGUAUUGUAAUGGACUGAGAAAAUGUAAAUAAAAAUAGACAUGGCUGGAUACGUUAUUGAUAGCGAUUCAGAUGAUAAAUUUAUCUAAAUCUAGCUGUCCAACAAUUUUAAAUGAUACUUAUCAUGGGAUGCACCAAAAUGCCAUGAAGAGAACUCUUCUACUUUUUCAAAAUAUAUUCUAGAGCAGACUAUUGAAUUAAUAUAAUUAUAGAUAGAUUAUAAUAAUAGGACUAGUUUCUAGAUUAUCACUAGCACUAGAAUUAGAUCUACUACUCAGAUCUAGACUCUAGAGUGACUCUAGACCUAGUCUACUCUAGUAGUAGUCUCUAGUAUCAUCAAGUACUAGUAGAUCAUCUAGGACUAGGUCUAGAAAACAUAUAUGACAUGUGGCAUACAGACAAGUUUACUAGAUGGAUCUUUCAUCAUUUUGGAAAUACAAUAUUCCCUGUGAAACAAAUCACAGAAACAUUCUACAAUUUUAUUUUAUAUAAUAAAUACCAAUAAAUGUAAAUACAAAAUCACAUUUUAAUAGAGUUCUUCAUUAUACACACAACAUUAUUUUAGUAUGUUCCUUUUCACUUGCUAGGUUUAGACAAAGUUUCGAAUCAGGAUUUAAUACUAUUAAGUCAUAGCCCAAAACUCCAGCAGGAUGUUAGUUAAUGGCAGUGGUCAAUGUUUGAACCUGAGACCACAGAGAAGACAGUUCGGAAUGCAAACCACACAACUUUCUGCGUUUCGAAACCUAUUCAAAUUUUGAUCAUUUUUAUGUUAAUGCAGAUCUGAAUGUCCAUUGCAAUGAUGACUUGAUCUGUAAAGGGGUUACAUUUUUUAAAAAUAAGUUGGAUCUCAUUCUUCGAAUGAUGCUAUUUAUUAGAAAUUGCAACGUGGAAUACAUAUUAGAGGCCAAAAGAAAAUCCACUGAUGAGGUAAGACAUCGUAAAGAACAUUUCAAUUGACCACCAGCUGAAUAUGGUUAUGUCUUCGCUGGACGCGGCAAAAUAUCUAGUUAGCAGCUGGGGCUGCGUAGCCAUGGAAAAUACUGCAUUUCUCAUUAAUCUUUCGACUCGACUGCCAGCCUUAUUUAUUAAACACUUUAAAUUAUGAAUAGCUCUGCAUUUUUUAAUAACAAUAAAAAAAAAUAUAUAUUCAGUGAUUAACUGGCAAUAAUUGAGUUACUAAAAUUUAAUAAAAUGAGUUGCAUAAUUACAUCAACAGUAGCCUAUAUGCAUUACUUAACAUUAUAUUGAUACUAUAAUUUAUUUUCCACUUCCCUGACUUCCCAGAGAAAAGAAAAAAACGACAACUCCUUCUCCAGUAGGAUAAUCUCUUUCAUUUAUAGUCUAAACACAAUUUAAAACUUUGUUACCUACAGUUACAGAUUAACUUGCUAACUUAACUAUCUAAUAAUCUAAUGAUUCUAUUCCAAUCAACAAAUGAGUCAAGCGUGAGAUAAAUGAAAACUCUUAAAUUUUUAGAUAUAUAUUUAUAGAACUAUGUAAGUAUAUAGGCCCGAAUAUACGGUACGAAUAUAUUUAAAUAAGAGUGUAAUAAAAUCCAUAUUUCAUAUAUUAAUAAUAUUAUAGAAUUGGUAGAUCUAGGUCUAAUUUUUGCCUUAUAGAUUAGUUUUUAGAAAUUUAGAUCUAGUACUUUUUUUACUAGUAGAUCUAAAUCAGACUACUUUUAAGUCUAAGUUAAGGUUUAAGUUAAAGCUAUUUGCCUAGUGUUGUACGGGGUUGUGACUCUAGAUUCAAACUAAAUAUAAUCGUAUACUACAAUAACUACAUUGAAUGAGCUCAACAUUCACAUUGUAAUAAUUGUUUUUUUCCCAUAUUGGGCCUAUUUAGGGACGACUAUAGGUUAAUAAUCACUAAGUGUAUAGAUAGAGUAUAUAAUUUUAAACUUUGUUUUUCUAGAUCUAGGCCCAGCACCUCGAUCGGAUCAGUCUAAAUAGAUAGGUCUUAUCUCUAAAUAUCCAAUACUACUACUAGAUCUAGACUUCAUCUAAUUGGAUUUAGAUCUAAAUUUAGGUCUACUUCGUACAUCAUUAAUGAUCUGAGAAAAGAACUCUGCUCUUGAUCAAAAGCAGUAGAUCUAGAACUAGAAUAUUAUAAGCCUGAAGCAGUAACAUAAGCUAUAAAUUGCGUAACUUGACUAAAACGAAAAAUGUGAACUGAGGCUCGCGGUACUGCGUGGGGUGAAACGCUGUUCGCUUGACUAGAUCAAGAAUAAGCCGACAAACUGUAGAUCUAACAUGCAAAGCCAUAAAUUGCGUGAUUUGACCUAAUUUCCCCAACUCUAACAUCCACUUUUUAUAAAUUGGCGUGUUUUAGUCGCCUUUGUUUUUAGAAACUAGCAUUCCUUGAAAAAGGAAUAGGGAAAUACGCUAAGCCAUAAACUGAAAAAUUUGACCUAAUUUCCCUUAAACUACGUCAUCGACCUUGGUUGUCUGGGAAAUACUGAUCUCGAAUGGCUUCGAGAUUGUGAAAUUUAAUAGUCCCUAAAACUCACAUUAAAUUGCUUAUAUUAUAUCUAAAUAAUUACAAAGAAUAUAUGUCUAAAAUUUCGUAUGUAUGUUUUUUUAAGCAUUAUGAAUCUAAAAAAAAAGUAUAACACCGGUUUCCGCGUCUGACCCCAAAACCUCUUCAGUUGGUCUUUAAGCCGAAAAUAAAAUAUUUAGUUUUCAAGUUCUUUUAUCAUUGUUGUAAUAAAAAAUACGCCAUUUUGUUUACUACGUUCUUAAGAGGAUGUAACUCUCCAUCCCAGAAGUUUAAAAAACAAUAAACUAAGAGCAAGUAUCACUGAACUAUAUAUUAUUUUGAUGGAAUUUAGUAUGAUCAAAAUUUAGAUUUAGUGCUAGCUUUAGGGUUAGGGUUAGAAUUAGGGUUAGGUUUAAGAUUAGGGUUAGAAUUAGGUUUAGGGUUAGUGUUAGGAUUAGGUUUAGAAUUAGGUUUAGAAUUAGGGUUAGGGUUAGAAUUAGGGUUAGGUUUAGAAUUAGGUUUAGUGCUAGGUUUAAGAUUAGGUUUAGAAUUAGAGUUAGAAUUAGGGUUUGGUUUAGAAUAAGUUUAGGGGUUUAGGGUUUGGUUUAGAAUAAGUUUAGGGGUUUAGGGUUAGGUUUAGUAUUAGGGUUAGAUUUAGGAUUAGGGUUAGAUUUAGAAUAGGUUUAGUGAACCCUAACCUUAACCCUAAACCUAGCACUAACCCUAUCCCUAAACCUAAAUACUAAACCUAGCAGUAAACCUUUUAUUUUGAUGCUACUAAUCCUAAACUAUAAUAUAGUGUUCCAAACGAUAUACAGUUCAGUGACAUUUUUUUCUUUACUUCCUCUCCAGAACAUCAUAACAAUAUGCCGUUGCCUCAAUUACAGCAAUAAUAAGGAACCGUAAAAACUAAAUAUUUUUUUUUCGGCUUAAUAUUAAUUUGCGAUGGUACAGCUUUGGAGGGUAGGUUUAUGAGCCUAUGGUCUACGGUAGGACCACAGAAAGAACCGGAUCAGGCGUGGGCGGCAUAAUAUCGCCUAUUACCGUUACUGUAGAUCUAGUACCUGUACUAAUAUUAGUAGAUAUGUAGAUCUAUAAUAAUACUUUUUAAUAGUAGAAAGUAGAUUUAUAAUCUAUCUAAUCUAAAUCUAGACUUCACUUUCACAUCACACGAUUAUUGAUACAGACAGUGAAUGAAACGAAUGCAGUGAUUAUAAAUGAUUGAUUAUAUUAUAGUUUAUACUGAUUAUACUUAUAGUUAGCUCUACCAGUUGAUUAUCAUCAUCAUCAUAGAUAAUAAUCUAGACUAGUAUUCUAGAUCUAUAAAUAAUCAUAGGAUAAUAAUCUAGACUAGUAUUCUAGAUCUAUAAAUAAUCAAAUCAUAGUCACCGUGAUAGUGCCCUUUUUAUUUUAGUCAAUGUAAGUGUAGUCAAGUCAAGAUAGUGGAACGUAAACUCGAAGGUUUAAUGCAAUACAGUAUAACUAGAGUCUAUGAGUUAGUAUAAGUAUAAGAUCUAAUUAUUUUGUUUCUUUGUAUGUCAAUGUCUCAAUUAAAAUAAUUAAUAUCAUCAGCCAUGUCAUUUUAAAUAUUAAAAUAGUAGACAGAUUUCUAUAUUAUAAAUAGAUAGAUUAGAUCUAUAAAAUAUAAUUUUACAAACUUUAGAAAUGAUUGAUUUUAUUUUUAAUUGAUCAGCCUUCUAGAGUAGUUCUAGCAUCUCUAGCUAGCUAGACUCUAACUUGUAGUUUGUAGAUCUUGGAAUUGGAUCGAAAUUCACCUUCCUAAAUUGUCUCUAAAGUCUGUAGCUGAUUUGAGAGGCCCAACGAGGCAAGAGUCUAUUAUUAUUAGUACUCUAUCUCUUGAUCUAUCUAGUAGGCCUACUUAGCUAGUGCCUUAGCCAUAGUGUAGUCAAAUCUUGACAACUAGUCUUCUAGAUCUAAGCUUCUAGAAUAAUUAGAUCUAGAUCCAGUUUAGAUUUAGAAUAUAAAAGUAUUUUACUAGCUAAAAUACUAAAUCUACUGAUCUAAAUUCUAGAUAGAUAUACAAUAUAUAGAUUAUAGAUCCAGUUUAGAUUUGGAAUAUAAAAAUAUUUACUAGCUAAAAUUCUAAAUCUACUGAUCUAUACUUAAUAUUUUAGAUAUUAUAUGACAUCUACAAAAAUUAUUAUUAAGAUAUAUAAUUAUAGAUUCUAGACUAGUUAUUUAUGUACAUAAAAUAUAUAAAUAAAAGAUAAAAUUAUGCAGGCCUAGAUCCCAUAAAUUUAUAAUUGAUCCAGAUCUAUCAGUAAAAGUUACCUUCGAUGGGAAGUUUUACCCAAUCUAAUCUAUACAAGACAAUUUAUAAUCCAUGCCUCGCCUACACCCCAUACAUUAAAUAAUAGUUCCCAUUCCACGCCAUGCCCAGGCCAUGAGUUCAUGAAAUAAUAAAUGAUGUGGUGUCAAGUUGGAUCUAUCCCCUGAAAUUCAGCACUUUAAUAUAAAACUCACAUAUCUAGUUAAUUAUUUGCUAUGACACUCUGACUCUGAUCAACUUGGACUUGUGUGAUACAUAUAUGUUUCUUAUCAGAUUUAAUGAAUGAAGUUUUGGUGCAUUUUAAGGCUACAAAAGUAUCAUCAGGUGCAUUCAAACCAUUGGUAUUUUUCCUGGCAACAUUUCUAUUCUAGUCUGUGAUAAAUUAUAAAUUAAAAAAAAAUGUUUGUAAUGUUUCAGUUAUUAACAAGUAGAACCAUGCCAACCAGUUCUGAUGAUGUACCAGAAUGGCUCAAGGAUCAUACUUAUACUAUUUCUACUCUCUGGGCAGACAUUAAUAAUAUUGGCAUCCAUUCAAUAUUUAUUUUAUGUUUGGAAAUGUAAGAAAAAGGCAUGCAUUCCUGACAAGUCAAUGAUUCGUUGCACCUCUUAAAGAUAACUUUCUGUUAUGAGAAAAGAUGAGAUUCUUGGACUCCUGCAUAGCACCACCAGAAAGGAAAAUCCCAUCAUGUUGCAAAAUAAAAGUCUUGGACCAAUUUUAAUUUAAGAUAUAUAUAUUAUGCUGUAAGCUCUAUACAUAUUUAUGUAUAUCCUGUCAUUCAGCCAACAGGUUUGGAUUAAGUAUUUCUUUAAAUCUGUUUGAUAUUGUACUUGAAAACUAUUAAUCUGAGCCCCAUUAAAACAAUAGGGAGUGCAGUGAAUGAGUGGUAAAACACUUGGCUUCUGAACUGAGGGUUCCUAGGUUCGAUUAAGACUGGGAUUUUCAAUGUCAGAAUUCAAAAGGCUAGGGAUACAUGGCAAUAGUAAGGAAUAAGUAAAUGCAGUUUGGGGAUCCAUGGCUGAAUGGUUAAGUCAUGGGUUUGAAUCUCUGUGAAGACUCAGAUUUAAAUUUUUUAGAUUUUUGGGUGCCCCUGAGUCCACCUAACUCUAAUGGGUAGCUGAAUUUUGUUUUGGAAAGUAAAGAUGGUUGGUUGUUGUGCUGGCCACAUGAUGCACUGGCCAAAGAAUCAAAUGACCUUAACAUCAUCUACCCUAUAGGUUGUGAGGUCUGAAAUGGGAUUUUUUUUCAAAAGGUGGUUGGUUGUUGUGCUGGGUACAUGACACCCUCGCUAACCAUGGGGCACAGAAACUGAUAAACUUUAUAUCAUCUGCCCCAUAGAUUGCAAGAUAUGCAAGGGAAAUUUUACUUUUUUAAAAUUAAAAUAAGAAUCUAUCAAAAGUAAACAUAUAAAAUAUGGUGCAUUCCCCUUAAAACUAAAACCUGGUGCGAAGGUUUAAAAUGUUGGCAAAAAAAAGCAACAUCAUAUAUUCUUAAUUCCCUUUGCAAAACUUACUGAUAAGAACAUGCAUGUUGUUCCCUCAUAAGUUUCUUGACAGAGGAAAUCUUGUUUAUAUUAGAUUUGAAUUAAGCAAAUUAAGAAAAAAAUUAUAAUCAUUAUUUCAAAUGGUUGUAUCUAAACCUUAUGAAUUAUUUUUCAGUUAUAAGUAUAUUGAGAUUAAUGGAUAAUCAUGAAAUUGUUAAAUAAUUGCUGCUAUCAUUCCAUUGACUAAAGAACCAUAAUUAUUUUUUUAAAAAUUAAUUUCAAAAUGAUUUUUUUCAAGCAUAGAGUUCACAUAGAUCUUAGUGAAUUUUUUUUUAUUUGACUAAUGCUUCAAUUUUAUUGUAUCAUAUUAGUUGUUAAUUUUUAUUACCCAGAAUAUUUAAAAAAUGAGUACACUAUUUUCAUGUAAUAAUGUAACUUGGUAUUUACACAAUGCUCAAAAUACACUAUAAUCUUUAGGCCAUACAGAUUUGUAUAAAUUAACUUGUUUAAAUACAUUGUAAAUGUAUAUUGUUUGGAUAAGAAUAAAGUUUUUCUGUAGACAAUUAUUGUUCAAGAUUUGUUGAUGCUCCUGCUUAAUCAAUUAUAUAUAUACAGGUCAUUAGUUUUAACACGUCUGAUAAUAAAUGACAGUACAAGUUAGUGAAUGAAAAUUUGUCAUUAUUUCAGCUGCUUUAGGCCUACAUCAAUGUGAGGUACCAGUACUUUGAUUGUGUCAUAACAAUUUAAAGCAACAUUUUGAAAUGAAUAGUCUGUAGAAUUGACAGUAAAUACAUUUAAGUGAUGGGCUGUGAUCUGCGUGAAUUGGGAGCUGAUCAUGUAUUGAAUUUGUGUUUUUGAUCUUUACUUCAAGUAAAUGUUAAUGAGCAAUUAAUUUUUAAUGAAUAAAUAAUUUAAAAAUAAAUACAAAAGAAGCAUAAACAUCUACUUUAGUUUAAUAAUUGUUUUUCAUCAGAACAGAAUUUCCAACUUUGCAUUCUUAAAAUAAAAUAUAAUUUAUUUAGAGUAGAGUCAGAACACAAAAUCAUAGUUUUAAAAUAUUAAGUAAAUUAAGCUAAGCUGUGAUCUCUUAUAAACAUUUGUAUAUAGACUUUACACAAUUUAAUUAUUAUUUUUCAUCAAAUUGCAG